rnacentral:rRNA from 1 species
AGUGAACGCUGGCGGUAGGCCUAACACAUGCAAGUCGAACGGCAGCACAGUAAGAGCUUGCUCUUACGGGUGGCGAGUGGCGGACGGGUGAGGAAUACAUCGGAAUCUACUUUUUCGUGGGGGAUAACGUAGGGAAACUUACGCUAAUACCGCAUACGACCUACGGGUGAAAGCAGGGGAUCUUCGGACCUUGCGCGAUUGAAUGAGCCGAUGUCGGAUUAGCUAGUUGGCGGGGUAAAGGCCCACCAAGGCGACGAUCCGUAGCUGGUCCGAGAGGAUGAUAAGCCACACUGGAACUGAGACAAGGUCCAGACUCCGACGGGAGGCAGCAGUGGGGAAUAUUGGACAAGGGGCGCAAGCCUGAUCCAGCCAUACCGCGUGGGUGAAGAAGGACUUAGGGUUGUAAAGCCCUGUUGUUGGGAAAGAAAAGCAGCAGGUUAAUACGCCGCUGUUCUGACGGUACCGAAAGAAUAAGCACCGGCUAACUUCGUG